rnacentral:rRNA from 1 species
AGAGUUUGAUCCUGGCUCAGAACGAACGCUAGUGGCGUGCUUAACACAUGCAAGUCGAACGAGAAAGUUUCCUUCGGGAAGCGAGUAUAGUGGCGCACGGGUGAGUAACGCGUAGGUAAUCUACCCUUGGCAUUUGGAAUAACCAGACGAAAGGCUGGCUAAUACCGGAUACGCUUCAUUUUGUGCAAACAAGAUGAAGGAAAGGUGACCUCUCCUUGGAAGUUAUCGUGCUAGGAUGAGCCUGCGUACCAUUAGCUAAUUGGUGGGGUAAUGGCCUACCAAGGCUACGAUGGUUAGCGGGUCUGAGAGGAUGAUCCGCCACACUGGAACUGGAACACGGACCAGACUCCUACGGGAGGCAGCAGUGAGGAAUUUUGCACAAUGGGGGCAACCCUGAUGCAGCGACGCCACGUGAGUGAUGAAGGUUUUCGGAUCGUAAAGCUCUGUCAGCAGGGAAGAAAUGUGUAGUGGUUAAUAUCCAUUGCAUUUGACGUACCUGCAAAGAAGCACCGCUAACU